GGAUCCAUUUUAUUGCGUCUGAACAAAGCUAUAUUAGCAAAGACUGUAUGAAAGAUUGUAACUCCUGCUUCAAAGUGCUCCGAACAGGAAAAGGCUCAGUAGUUUGACAACAUGCAGAUACAAAUGUUGCACAAAAAGUGCCUUUUAACAUUAGCAUGUGGAAAUUUGAUUAUAAAUUAUACAUCAGUCUGCAAUUUUCCUGUAGAAAACAUUUACCUUUGAUCUAAGUUCAAAGUACAAAUGGUUCGGGUAUACAAAUGGACUCACUCAGGCUUUCAAAAGAUUUCAGAUUCAAAUGUAAAUGCCUGAUCAUUAAAGCUUAAUCUAUCUAUCAAUUUUUAAUGCUUAUCAAAGUGCACCAAAAGUUUUAUCUACGCUGGUGGAUUGAAUCCAUGUACACAAAACAUAUAUACCCCCCCCCACCCCCCCAGUAGUCACAUUUAGACUAAGGCUGCAGUGUCAAUAGACAGACACAGAAGAUUUGCCCUCAAAACACAAAC